rnacentral:lncRNA from 1 species
GUCAUUUAUUUUGUUGACUUUUUCUUCUUUUAGGAAUGAAUUCUGUGCAAUGAACUUUGCUCUUAGUAUUGCCCAUAGGGUCCCAGAGAUUUUGAUACAUUGUAUCCUUGUUCUCAUUCACCUCUAAGAAUUUUUUAAUUUCCUCCUUGAUGUCUUUUACAACCAAUUGUUCAAUUCAGUAGCAUAUUAUUUAGUCUUCAGGUGUUGGAGUGGCUUUUAUUUUUAUUUUAUCAUUAAUUUCUAAUUUCAUGUCAUUAUGAAUGCAGGAUAGUACCUCUAUUUUUUUUUUACAUUUGCUAAGAUUUGCUUUGUGGCAUAAUAUAUGGUCUGUCUUAGAGAAGGAUCAUGUGCUGCUGAGAAGAAAGUGUUUUCUCUCAUUGAAGGAUGAAAUAUUUUAUUUAUGUUAGUUAAUCUAAGUUAUUGAUUGUAUUAUUGAGUUGCAUAGUUUCUUUGUUCAGUUUUUUUUCAUACAAUCUAUCCAGUGGUGAAAGAGGUGUGUUAAAGUCACCAAGAAUUAUUGUAUUGUGGUCUAUUUGCCUCUUGAACCUGAGAAGAGUUUGUUUGAUGAAUGUAGAUGUAAAUUUAUAUGGGACAUAUAAAUUUACUAUUGUUAUGCCUUGUUGAUGAAUGGUUCCUUUAAACAGUAUGAAAUAUCCUUCUUAAUAGCUUUUGACUAACUUUGGCUUGAAGUCUACUUUAUUUGAUAUGAGGAUGGAAUCCACUGCUUGCUUUGAGUGGUAUGAUUUUUUACAACCUUUCACCUUCAGUCUGUGGAUUUUUUUUUUCUAUUAGAUGAGUCUUUUGGAGACAGUAUAUUGUUGGGUCUUUUUUUUUUAAUACAACCUUCUAGACUAUGUCUUUUUAUUGGUGUGUUUAGGCUAUUAACAUUCAGGGUUAUUAUUGAGGCAAGAUUUGUAUUUCC